UUGGAUUUCUGUUGAGGAAGGACGGUCCGCACUAAGUGCGUGUAUCUGUUACUGCCUCGGCAUCCUCUAGGAGAACGGUGCUGUGAUUCACUUCAUGGUCCGGAAUUCUAGACUUUUACUUUGAGGAAAUUAGAGUGUUCACGGCAAGCAAUCGCUUUGAAUACAUUAGCAUGGAAUAAUAAUAUAGGACCUUGGAUCUAUUUUGUUGGUUUCUAGAACUAAGGUAAUGAUUAAUAGGGAUAAUUGGGGGCAUUCGUAUUAACGCGUCAGAGGUGGAAUUCUUGGAUUGCGUUACGACGAACUACUGCGAAAGCAUUUGCCAAGGAUGUUUUCAUUGAUCAAGAACGAAAGUAUGGGGAUCGAAGACGAUUAGAUACCGUCGUAGUCUAUACCAUAAACUAUGCCAACUAGAGAUUGGAGGUCGUAUUUUUUAUGACUCCUUCAGCACCUUAUGAGAAAUCAAAGUCUUUGGGUUCCGGGGGGAGUAUGGUCGCAAGGCUGAAACUUAAAGGAAUUGACGGAAGGGCACCACCAGGAGUGGAGCCUGCGGCUUAAUUUGACUCAACACGGGAAAACUUACCAGGUCCAGACAUAGUAAGGAUUGACAGAUUGAUAGCUCU
rnacentral:rRNA from 1 species